UUGAGGUGUUUUUUUGAGUUGGAUUUGCUUUAGUUUGUAGUCCUCUUUAUAGUAAAUAUUGGCGAGAGGGGGGAGAGAGUUCCAUUUCAAGGUUAAUAUGGGGGAAAGACCUUUAGCAAGCAAGUGAAAAAGUGGAAAAAUUAGUAGCAAUCUAAAAAGAGAAGAUCACACCACAUGAAUUGUGAGCAUUGCAUUCGUGGCGGGGCGACCCGCAGCUUAUCGGGCCAGCAUCGAAGUUGGGCGGUAGGAUAAUGGGGUAGGAAUGUGACUUUACUUCGGUGAAGUGUUAUAGCCUGCGUGGAUAGUUAUCCUUCCUCAGGCUUCUGCAUGGGAGGCGAUGAUUCAUAGGACCUGCAUAAAAACCUGCUGAGUGUGUUG
rnacentral:rRNA from 1 species